UACGGGGGGGGCAAGCGUUGUUCGGAAUUACUGGGCGUAAAGAGCGCGCAGGCGGCUGGUCAAGUCCGAUGUGAAAGCUCCCGGCUUAACUGGGAAAUUGCAUCGGAAACUGAUCGGCUGGAAGGUGGGAGAGGGUAGCGGAAUUCCCGGUGUAGUGGUGAAAUGCGUAGAUAUCGGGAGGAACACCAGUGGCGAAAGCGGCUACCUGGCCCAUUCUUGACGCUGAGGCGCGAAAGCUAGGGGAGCGAACAGG
rnacentral:rRNA from 1 species